rnacentral:rRNA from 1 species
AUGCACGCUAGCGGCAGGCCUCAUCCAUGCAAGUCGGACGGGAUUCAGGAGCUUGCUUCUGAUGAGAGUGGCGCACGGGUGCGUAACACGUAUGUAACCUACCUUUAUCAGGGGGAUAGCCUCUCGGAAGAGAGAUUAAGCCCGCAUAAAAUCACAGCACAGCAUUGUGUAAUGAUCAAAUAUUUAUAGGAUAAAGAUGGGCAUGCGGAACAUUAGCUAGAUGGCGGGGUAACGGCCCACCAUGGCGACGAUGUUUAGGGGAUCUGAGAGGAUGGCCCCCCACACUGGUACUGAGACACGGACCAGACUCCUACGGGAGGCAGCAGUAAGGAAUAUUGGUCAAUGGGCGGAAGCCUGAACCAGCCAUGCCGCGUGCAGGAAGACGGCCCUACGGGUUGUAACUGCUUUUAUACGGGAAUAAACCCAGAUACGUGUAUACGGCUGAAUGUACUGUAAGAAUAAGGAUCGGCUAACUCCGUG